UACGUAGGCAGCAAGCGUUGUUCGGAGUUACUGGGCGUAAAGGGUGUGUAGGCGGCUUCGUAAGUUCGGUGUGAAAUCUCCCGGCUCAACUGGGAGGGUGCGCCGGAAACUGCGGAGCUGGAGCGCAGGAGAGGAAAGCAGAAUUCCUGGUGUAGCGGUGAAAUGCGUAGAUAUCAGGAGGAACACCAGUGGCGAAGGCGGCAUCCUGGCCAUGUACUGACGCUCAGGGGCGAAAGCGUGGGGAGCAAACCGG
rnacentral:rRNA from 1 species